rnacentral:lncRNA from 1 species
CGCGGCUGCAGCCCGCUCCCCUCGCUCGCGGGGCCCGAGGCCUGCGGCGGAGAGGCCUCCGCGUCCGGGCCGCCGCCGCCGCCGCCGCCCCCGUCCCCUCGAGGCCGGUCGGCCCGCCUCGCCGACACCCCGCCCGGCCCCGCUCCCCGCCCGCCCCGCUCCCCUCACCCGGCUGGGAGCGCGGCCUGGGGGCCCUGGCGAGCGGGAGGAGACGGCUCCGCGCGGCCCCGCUGCAGCCGCCGCCGCUGCCCGAGAGAAGGAGGAGGGAGGAAGGGAGCGAGCGGCGCGCAUGCGCGGCCCCACCUCAGCGCCCGCGCCGCCCGACCUCGGCGGCCAAUGGCCGCGCCGCGCCGUUACAUAACGCGGGCAGUGCGGCAUCGAUAGCCGCGCUGAGGCGGGGAGGGGCGGCGUGCGGAGUGUGGGAGGAGCGCUUGAGGGCAGGGAGCGGGGCCGCGCCGAAAAGAAGACUGCCAAGUGAACAAGCAGCCUUUCUCCUGGCUGAUGCUGCUUCCGGAUUGCUGCUGACCUCAGCACUGGUACUGGAGACUGCUGUCCAGGGUCGUGUCCCUGCACUGGGCACUGCUGCACGCCUGGCUGGAUGGGAAUUUCCAAUAACGUGGAUUUCUCGGCUGCUGAGUUCUUGCUGCUCUCUGAACCUUCUGCUGCUGCUGCCAGCAGAACUGAGCUCUUCAUGCGGCACAGAGGACCAUGACCUUCCCUCUGGCUGCUUUGUCGCCUUUUACGCUGCAGCAUGGUUCCUAUAUUGCCCAAAUCAUUGCUCUGCGAUUAAGACUCUAGGAAACAGACCAUUAGGAAAUUGAACCCAUUGUGGGAGAAAAAAAGAAUGAGUCCCCAUAGUUGGCAUUUUUGUUAUGAAGAUAAAAAAGAAAAUUUCCCCAUUUGCUAUGAAUGAUAUUGCAGUUUAUUCACUGCAUGAAACCAACUUAUCACACCAAUGGGAAUAUUUACACGUACACAUGCAGGGCAGCAGAGAGAUGCGGGGCGGAUAUGGUGAGCUGGUGGAGAGGCAGAGCUGGCUGUGUGCAGGAUGCUUCGCAUAGCUCUGUCAGAAUGAAGCAGUUGUAAUUGCAGAUUAUCCGGCUUGUGGACUUCCUGUGCUUUGUGCUACUCCCAUGUGAGGUAAAGCAAGCCAGAGUACAUGAAGGAAAGUUAAAAUUUAGAUUGAAAUGUUGUGUUUAGAAAUAAAUAGAAAUAUUCUGCUGUUUUUCUGAGCGCU